CGCAAUCACCUCCCCUACUCCUCGAUAGGGUUCCAUUAGCCUUAAAUGCCUAACCAUUUAUUUCUCUCUCUUUCUUUCUUUUGUUCUUCAUCUCUCUCUCAUGGUGGUGGCGAUUUUUUGGUUCAGUCAUCGGCGGUCUCUAAUUCGCUUGGUGCAGGUCGGGAACUGCUUCGCUUCUUGUUCCUUUUUAUCUUGAUGUUGUUGUUUCUUUCAAUUUCCUCUGUUAUUAGUGGGAAUUUAUAUAAUCGAGCGAAUUGGAUCCCGCCUUGCAUCAACUGAAUCCGAGACCGCGAUGAAGAUUGCAUGGAUCUAGCAUCUUUUACCUGAUGUAGUUUCUUCAAGGUUUGGAUUGUUUUCCUUCCUGUAAUUUACUAUUAAGAUCUGGAAAAUCCACCUCUAGGAGCUUUGUUAUCGAAUUUCGAAGGUUUAAUUCAUUUCUGUGCUCUGGAUUUUAUCAAUCUUUUGACGUUAUGUUGUUGGUGAAUCAAUGCGUGUUUAUAUGACUUAAUUGUUUUGUACGAAUAUCUGAUUAGUUAUUACUUUGUCGAUGAUUUAUCAAUUUUGAGGUUUAAUUUGGCAGAAACAGAAUCGGUUUAUGCUAUAGCCUGAUCUGAUGAUCUCUCUGUUCGAAAAGUAAAUAGUAAUAGAACUAAAAGUGAUUUCAGUCAAUUUGAAUAAAUCGUUGUUUGUGCAGUGCGUUUACUGUGGUCCACGUUUGCGUCAUUCGCUUUUCUUGAUUCUUCCAUUUUGCAAUUAUUCCAUGGAUUCACAGUGCGUUUCGAGUAAAAUUCCAUUAACAAUGAUUCAUUUUGGUUGUUUCUUGUUAUUGUUAUUUUUUUUAAUCUCUGUUCUUUUCCCGGUUGCUUUUAGCAUCUUCUUUAUCCAAGUACUUUGCAGUCUGGCACUACACCGUCGUCGAAUCUUUUCGUGUUCCUUUUCCAACCGAGCUCAGUAAACUGUACUUUUUAUUCUCCAUAUGUAGUAACUUUUUUCCUGUGCAUCUUUCUGAAGAUGCUUAUCCACUAUCCAUUCCAAAUUUCCCGUUGUUACUCUCUUUGAUAGGCAUUUAAGGAAACCGUUAAGGCCUUUUUUCUUCUCUUUUGAAAUGCUCGACUUGGAAUCUAUCUGUUUGAUCAACAACACACAGAGUAUAUAGAGUCAUAGUUUUUGGGGGGAAUUUGAUAGGCUUCUGUCGGUGUCUAUCGGCGCGAUAGGCUUCUGUCGGUGAAAAGAUUAAAAUUUUGCUACUUUGUGUUAAAAGUUUCUCUCAUUUUUCCAUUUUUGAAAAUCACUUUUUGUUUGUCUCUUUCUUAGUGGUUAUUAAUCUUUUUCUUCAUCUUGGGAAGUUCCGUACUGUAUUGCUUCAGGUUGGAAACUAGAUAUGUCCUUAUUUAUAGGUGUAGCUUGAUUUUUAUAUGGAAAAUACCAACUCUUUUCUGUUUUGCAGAGGAACAGAGUUGCAUAAAUUUUUAUCAAUUUCUUUUUUAUUCGAUUUUAUGCGCAAUGUUCACCCUUGCAUUUUGUAUCUCAUUACACUAGUUUUACCAUUAAUUUUGGCUAACUGUUUCUAACAGAAUCCUCCUAUUUCGCUAUUUUAAAAAUGUUAAAUUUUAUCAAUCAAAUUUUGUCCAAGUAAUUUUUGUAGUAGGACCUUUCGUUGUCAUCCUGGAAUCUGAUCAGCUGUGGCGACAGAAGUAAAUCCAAAAAUGUAAGGAGCUCAGCGAAAAGAAAUGGCGGAAUCUAAUGAAGUAACGAAACUGUGGCACGAGUAAGGCCGGGGUAUGGCUUGAUAGAACACAGCAUCGUGGGUGUGGGCCUGAUUUUGGGCCCUUGGAUGAGCUUUGUACUGAUGGGACACGGCUCUUCGAUCACCUAUGUACACUUUGUAAUUCCUAAACUCCUACCCUUUAGGGUAUGAAUAAUCGAUUAAGUUUAGUUUAGUUUGGGUAGUUUGUGCAAACGUCGGGGUUAAUAAGGCAAUGGCCUCGUUGUUUCUCAUCCAUUCAUUUCCCUUCAACUUUACUUUACUUUGUUUCGGUGCACUAUACAAAAUUCCUAAACUUUAGGGUGGGCUUUGAAUCAGGAGUAGCGAAGAUCCAAAUGUUCGACCUCUCUCAUAGCUGCACAUAAAUUUUUUAAAAAGAAAAAAAGAAAAAGAGAGAGAUCAUUUUACAAAAAAAAAAUUAUCACAUCAUAAUUUCUUAUUAAACAGUUCUGGAUUCGUAGACAGUAUCCAAGUUUUUCUCAUUUUUAAGCACAUCGAUAUGUCUGAGUGAUUUAAGCCCUUCUCGUUCCCGAGGAAAACGGUGAUGAACAAAAUUGAUAGUUCAAUCUAUUUAUGAAUAUUUAUGCAAUUUUGGAAUCACUUAAAGUUUCAAACAAAAUCUCCAUAACAAAUUUUAUAGAUUUUCAAUCAGGUGCAUAUUUCAUAUCUAUUUAUUGUCUGCCAUGUAGACAUGCUUUGUGUAACAGAAAUUUCUAAUGUGACUUUAAUUUAUUAUUUAUUUAAUAAGACUGAUAGUUUAAAUUC